rnacentral:rRNA from 1 species
UUCGUAGGUGAACCUGCGGAAGGAUCAUUAACCGUUACAAACAGUGUGUGAUGCGGCCGCCGAGGUGAAUAGCCUCUGGUUGGUAUGGGGUUCGCCCCUUCACGCUCACGCGUCUGCCAUCCUUACUUUACGAGCACCUUCUGUUCUCCCUCGGCAAGGGCCUCGCCCUGCCGUUGGAACUACAAAACUCUUUUUUGCAUCUAGCAUUACCUGUUCCGACAAAAACAAUCGUUUACAACUUUCAACAAUGGAUCUCUUGGCUCUGGCAUCGAUGAAGAACGCAGCGAAAUGCGAUAAGUAGUGUGAAUUGCAGAAUUCAGUGAAUCAUCGAAUCUUUGAACGCACAUUGCGCCCCUCGGUAUUCCGUGGGGCAUGCCUGUUCGAGCGUCAUCUACACCCUCAAGCUCUGCUUGGUGUUGGGCGUCUGUCCCGCCUCCGCGCGUGGACUCGCCCCAAAUACAUUGGCAGCGGUCUUUGCCUCCUCUCGCGCAGCACAUUGCGCUUCUCGAGGUGUCGCGGACACGCGUCCAGUAAGCAACAUUUACCGUCUUUGACCUCGGAUCAGGUAGGGAUACCCGCUGAACUUAAGCAUAUCAAUAAGCGGAGG